rnacentral:rRNA from 1 species
AUGAAGACUCCCAUUGAGGUUCUCCUUAAUGAACAACCUGAUUAUACCUUUCUCAAGGUAUUUGGGUGUGCUUGCUGGCCGCAUCUUCGUCCAUAUAACAAGCGCAAGCUUGAGUUUCGUUCUAAGAAGUGUGUUUUCCUUGGCUAUAGCUCUCUUCAUAAAGGUUACAAAUGUCUUCAUGUUCCCACUAAUCGUGUCUAUAUAUCUCGGGACGUCGUGUUUGAUGAGCAUGUUUUUCCCUUUGCCAACCUUCCUGUGUCCACUGUCGAACCACCAUCCCUGCAUUCAUCCUCUGUUGCUUCUGACCAAUUUGAUGAUGUUGCAUACUCUCCUUUGCUGUUACCUAACCAUGGUGCAGGAACCGGACGUGGAGCUCGUUUGGAGCUGUUGGAGGAUUCACCAUCAUCAUCGUCGUCUUCUGGUGGGCAUGUCGAUCGCCCUCUAUUGCAUGGCAUCGAUUCGCGUGCCCAUGCAUGGUCACCCGACGAGCCCGUCGCGCCGAGCAUCUCCACUGCUCGGUCUGCUACGCCAGUGAUCGCCGAGUCUCCAGCGGCUCGGCCUUUUUCGCCAGCGGUCGCCGAGUCGCUCGUGGCUCGGCCCGUCACGCCGUCUUCGCCCGCGGCUCGGGUCCUCACGUCGCCUUCAUCAGCGGAUCGGCCCGCGACACCGGCCGCGCCACGGCCCACUAUGCCGAGCUCGCCAUUGGCCCGGUCUGGGAUGCCGGAGUCGCCAGCUGCUUCGUCUGCUCUGCCGGUUUCGCCGGUGGGCCGGCCUUCUUCGCCGACUGAGUCCGAGGCUACCGUGCCUGGCUCCUCAUCACCGGCUGACUCGUCAACGUCGCCGUCCUCCAGCCCGUUGCAGGCUGCUCCGUCGACCUCGGUGGUUCCUGUGUCUCGACCACAUACACGCAGUCGCAGUGGCAUUUUCAAACCUAAGGAACGUACGGAUGGUACGGUUGCUUGGUUGGCUGCUUGUUUGGCUGCUGCUGUUGCGGAUCCAUCUUUUGAGCCUCGCUCAUAUCAGGCUGCCCUGCGCAUUCCACAUUGGCGAGAGGCUAUGGAGCAGGAGUUUCAUGCUCUUCUUCGUAACAAGACAUGGACUCUCGUUCCUCCACCACCACGGGUAAAUGUUAUUGACUCAAAAUGGGUAUUCAAAGUGAAGAAGCAUUCGGAUGGAUCUAUUGAGUGUUACAAAGCGCGACUUGUUGCUCGCGGUUUUCGGCAGCGUCAUGGUCUUGACUAUGAGGACACCUUCAGUCCUGUCGUCAAGCCUACCACUAUUCGGCUUCUUCUCUCCAUUGCUGUUUCUCGUGGUUGGUCCCUUCAUCAACUUGAUGUGCAGAAUGCUUUUCUACAUGGAUUUUUGGAGGAAGAGGUUUAUAUGAAACAGCCGCCUGGUUUCUCUGAUCCUGAUCGUCCUGACUAUAUCUGUCGUCUUUCCAAAGCACUAUAUGGUUUGAAGCAAGCUCCUCGUGCCUGGCAUGCCCGCCUUGCCUCUGCCCUUCGUGCUCAUGGGUUUGUGCUGUCCACUGCUGACACUUCAUUAUUUCUUCUACAGAAGCCAGAAGUCACUAUGUAUCUUUUGGUAUAUGUCGAUGAUAUUAUCCUUGUCAGCUCUUCUCAGUAUGCUGCUGAUGCUCUUGUCUGCUCUCUUGGUGCUGAUUUUGCGGUCAAAGAUCUUGGGAAGCUUCACUACUUUCUUGGAGUUGAGGUCACUUCUCGUGCUACUGGUCUUGUCCUUACGCAGAAGAAGUACUCCUUGGAGUUGUUACAAAAAGCCGGCAUGCUGAAGUGCAAACCGACCACCACACCCAUGUCGUCUACCGACAAGAUAACAGCUGUUGAUGGUGAGUUUUUGUCUCCUGUGGAUGCCACAGAGUACAGAAGCAUUGUUGGUGGACUUCAGUACUUGACGAUCACGAGACCAGAUAUCUCUUAUGCUGUUAACAGGGUUUGUCAGUAUCUUCAGGCUCCCAGAGAUACUCAUUGGGCUGCUGUUAAACGCAUUCUUCGUUAUGUUCAGUUCACCCUGACUUUUGGUAUGCAUAUUCGGCCGACUUCCUCUCGGGUCCUUUCGGCCUUCUCUGAUGCAGAUUGGGCUGGUAGCCCAGAUGACAGGCGAUCCACGGGGGGUUAUGCAGUAUUCUUUGGCUCUAAUUUGAUCGCCUGGAGUGCUCGGAAACAGGCUACUGUGUCACGUAGCAGUACUGAAGCUGAGUACAAGGCUGUGGCUAAUGCUACUGCAGAGAUUAUUUGGGUGCAGUCUUUGCUUCAGGAGUUGGGUUUGUCUCAACCACAGCCUCCUAUUCUUUGGUGUGAUAACAUUGGUGCUACAUACCUUUCUGCAAAUCCAGUAUUUCAUGCCCGAACGAAACACAUUGAAGUUGACUAUCACUUUGUACGGGAACGUGUAUCACAGAAGCAACUUCAGAUCAAGUUUAUCUCGUCUAAGGAUCAACUUGCAGAUAUCUUCACUAAGCCUUUACCACUGCCACAGUUUGAGGCUUGUAGGCGCAAUCUUACCCUUGUCAGUUCUUUAGAAAGUGGCUAA